rnacentral:rRNA from 1 species
UUGGAGGGCAAGUCUGGUGCCAGCAGCCGCGGUAAUUCCAGCUCCAAUAGCGUAUAUUAAAGUUGCUGCAGUUAAAAAGCUCGUAGUUGAAUUUUGGAUUCGGCCAAUUGGUCCAUCUUUUAGAUGAGUACUGGUUGUGUUGGGUCUAUCCGCCUGGUGAUACGUAAUGUCCUUUAUUGGGUGCUGCGGGUAGUCAGGACCUUUACCUUGAAAAAAUUAGAGUGUUUAAAGCAGGCUUACGCCGGAAUACAUUAGCAUGGAAUAAUAGAAUAGGACGAAGUUGUUUUAUUUUGUUGGUUUCUAGGACAACCGUAAUGAUUAAUAGGGAUAGUUGGGGGCAUUAGUAUUCAAUUGUCGGAGGUGAAAUUCUUGGAUUUAUUGAAGACUAACUACUGCGAAAGCAUUUGCCAAGGAUGUUUUCAUUAAUCAAGAACGAAAGUUAGGGGAUCGAAGACGAUCAGAUACCGUCGUAGUCUUAACCAUAAACUAUGCCGACUAGGGAUCGGGCGAUGUUGUUUCCAUGACUCGCUCGGCACCUUAUGGGAAACCAAAGUGUUUGGGUUC